AGUGAACGCUGGCGGUAGGCCUAACACAUGCAAGUCGAACGGCAGCACAGUAAGAGCUUGCUCUUACGGGUGGCGAGUGGCGGACGGGUGAGGAAUACAUCGGAAUCUACUUUUUCGUGGGGGAUAACGUAGGGAAACUUACGCUAAUACCGCAUACGACCUACGGGUGAAAGCAGGGGAUCUUCGGACCUUGCGCGAUUGAAUGAGCCGAUGUCGGAUUAGCUAGUUGGCGGGGUAAAGGCCCACCAAGGCGACGAUCCGUAGCUGGUCUGAGAGGAUGAUCGGCCACACUGGAACUGAGACACGGUCCAGACUCCUACGAGAGGCAGCAGUGGGGAAUAUUGGACAAUGGGCGCAAGCCUGAUCCAGCCAUACCGCGUGGGUGAAGAAGGCCUUCGGGUUGUAAAGCCCUUUUGUUGGGAAAGAAAAGCAGCAGGUUAAUACCACGCUGUUCUGACGGUACCCAAAGAAUAAGCACCGGCUAACUUCGUG
rnacentral:rRNA from 1 species